rnacentral:piRNA from 1 species
UGAGCAUCAUCAAUGACUGGGCAAAAUUCCACUGGGCUCUUCUAGACUUUUUCCAAGGACUAUUUCUGGAAACAAACUUCAACAUUCCCAGAAAGUCACAUGAAGAGUUCACACCGAGUCUCAGAGGAGCCAAUGAACAAAAUCUGGGACUAUAAAGACCAUGAAGUCCUUUGAAGAGUGACUAAGCGCAUUGUACACCGAGAUGCACAGGAGCCUGUAGAAACUAAGACAUUUGGAGCAGCAGGAUGCCAUUGAGAAGAGGUUGGGAAUGUUAAAGCUGUAAGUUCCAGUCCAUUCUCAGAAAGCUAACCAAGAGACGUCUUGUAUCAGAUCAACUCUCAGAAUCAGAAGGUCUCAGAGGGCAUAAGAGUGGGCCAGUUCCUACGUAAGAGUUGGUCCUUCAGCAUGUGGUUGCAGAUUACAUCUCCAAGGCUGAGGCAGGAACCUGGCUGCUUCCUCCAGCUGGAGCACUGGGUCUUGAUCUGUUUGUGCUAGUGGUUUAGAGGAAAGCUACAGUCUUCCUCCUCAUCUUCUUCCAUUAGUGGCCCUAUGAGUGUGACUAUAGAGUCAUCAAUCUUCCGUCAAAGUCAGGGAUCCAGAGGCAGGAUCCAACUGAGAACUAGGCAGGUGAAACUGACAUGUAUGCAGUUUCAGGAGCUCCUUGCCUUAUGCAUGUAUUGUAGGUAAAGAACAGGGACCAAUCAGGGGAAAGCCUGCCAAACCCAGAGAAGAAAGGACAGCCAGAAACUACCCAGGACAGAGAAUCGGGUGGGGGGAGGGAUUCAAUCAGGUCUGCUGCUCUGUCCCCUAUCCCUCACUGCACUGCAGAGAAAGCUGGACAAGAAGGCAGGAGAUUAUGGUCCAAUCGCAAUCGCAACUGGAGUUUUCACCUGUGUUCAUUUCCCAGUGUUAUUUUUAAAAGUCUCCAGCUGUUGAUUCAACCUCCAGUUGGGGCUGCUAUUAUCUUUCCCUCUCCUUUCAACAUGAAUCCCUUGGGGCUAGAGGUAAAGAUGACUAGAAUGCCCUAUGAAAACCUCUGCCAUGGUAUAGAUGACUAGAAUACCCUAUGAAGAACCUCUGCCAUUUGCUACCUCCCUCUUCUGUUCUGGAAAGGCCCUGAGUCCUAGGAUAAAGAACACAUAGGAGCCACAGUUUCCCACAUGUGUCCUUGUUUGUUCUGUGUGCCCACAUAAAGCUUACCUUAACACAGUGUCCUCAGAGCCAUGGAGCGCGAUAUGCAGUAGCUGAGCACUUUAAAUCCAAGGAGAUGCAUGCCUGAGUGACUGAUCACUCUGCUCUUCCUCCCUCUCCAAGCUGGGUCUCCUGUCUCAUUUGUUGAUUUUUAUUUUCUCUCCCCCAUUACUUCCUAUUCCCACCUCAUACAACUCCCUCCUCACUAGGACAGUGUCUAGAUAAAACCUCCAAUUUACUUCACCCUGAGACUGUACAUAAUUCUGGUUUACCAAUAGACAAGGACAUGGGUAAAAGCAGAGAUAAAACCAAAUGUCAAGUUAUACCUGGCUUUCUCCUGUCAGUUGUUUUUAUAAAUCUCACCUUGCCCACUCAUUUUUGGGGGGACACCCUCAUUUGACAAAUCUGACAAACAUGAUGAGGGUUUGGAGGGUAAUAUGAAGCAGCAAAGUCUUAAGAGGCAUAUCCUACUUUUCCUCCCACCCCUACCCCCCCACCCCCGGGCUGGCCUGAACUAGAUUCUGAUGUCUCAAUGUGUUCGGGGACACUUUGAAAGGUCUUCUUUGAUAAACUGUAGGAGAAGCUUGUUUCUUCUGUGUAUACCCCACUGCUCCUGAGUAAGCAAAUACAUGGUUCAGUCAUAAAGCCUCUCUGGGCUUUGCUCAGAAUAGUUGUCCUCUCCUGCACAACAGGGGCAUUUGUCUCCCCUCUCUGCUCUCACUGGUCUUUAUCAGUUCAUAAAAUGUCAAAGGGAGGGUCACUGGCUCUGCUUCUGGGGGUACAGAGAGAAAGUGUCAGGGUCUUCAGCAGAAGAGAAAGAUGUCACCCCUGAGUUCCUAAUCUUUGCUUGCAUCUUAUAACCAUUGUCCUGAUGCCUGGUCCCUAAUAGGUGGUAUAAAACCAUAGUUUCUUUAAGCUUUUGUGUGUUAAAAGUUCUUUUAUGUCUUGGGUAUCAAACCCAUUAUCUUUCAUGGCUGCCACAAUUUCAGAGUCUUGGCAGCUGGUGUCUCCAUCACAGUGACUUGUUAAAGUCUCAUCGCCUUUCAUAGCCAUGGAUGCUGCCUCAUUGGAUUUUGUACAGUUGGCUUCUACUUAGCAUUCAUUGUUAAUAAUGGACUAAUAAUGCAUGCUUAGUAAAUCUUUGAGAAAGUUAUGUGGGAUGUCAUACUGCAUUUGCAAAACUUUUUUGCUAAGCUCUGAUAAGGUGGGCCCUGCAAAUGGAAUAGACCCCAGUUGCUAUAUAGGAUAAGAGGACACAAAAAGUCAAUUUUGGGAUCAUCAUAAGGAAUGCCCAGAAAGAAUUCUGUGAGGAAGGAAUAAACUGAAAUGUUGCAACAGGCUUGAAUCUUGCAACUACACAAGACUUUAUUAUUUUUACACUUCUGCUCCCAUUCCACUAACACAUUAUCAGAAAGCAGGUAUCUAUCUAUAAGCUGUAUCUUCAUCAGGGCAGCAGCCUACAGCAAGGAGAAUCUGUUGGAUUUUUUCUUUUUCCUCUUUCAGGAUGUUGGUCUUCUGGUUGUGAUAGUUUUUCUCCCUCAGUUACUUCCACGAUUUAAAAAGUAUUUUAUUUGGUUACUUAGAGGGGAAUGAUGUUGGGGUAUUUGAUUUUUUUCACAAUGGCCACCUCUGCAAUCGCUGCUUUGGAACCACUUCUCCUGCUUCAGCAAAACUUUCACAGUGACUGACUCACCUGUGAGACGAUGGGAGACUAAUUUAGCCUUGGCCUGAAAUAUUUAGGGUAGUGAUUAUGUCUUCAUCAAAGAUGAUGGGUACAGUGCUGGGCCCUGAUGUUGCCUCCCUUGCCACUGUACAUUGUAGGUGGGAAUGCUACGUCAAAAAGAGAACGUAGCAGAAGAAAUGAAGUCUGAAGCACAAGAAACAACUAAAACCAAAGAAAACCAACACUACAUUUAAACAAAAACUCAAUGCCAAGUGAAGAAAAAAAUGAAAAAGGAUAGAUAUGAAAGAAAUGGUACACUCUAAAAUAACCAGGAAAAAAUAUACAACAGGUAAAACCAGAAAAUGAAAACUAAAGUUCAGCUCAACCAAACAAAAAUGUUCAAAAAUCAAACCUAACUAAAUGCCAAAUUGUAGUAAAUUCCACAGAAUCCAGAGUAUUACUAGAGGCAAAGAAAUAUAUUACAAGGAAAAAAAGAGACUGAAAGAAAGUAAAAGAAAUACCAAAAUAUAACCUUUAAAAAUUUGAACAAAAGUCUCAAACAAAAAUGAAAAUUAGAAUGAAGAUAAUCUACAAAGACCAAAAUGUGAAAAGGAACCAGGAACCUAGUGAAUGAAAGACGAAUGAAGUAAACCAUAAAGUGGGGGAGAUUGCUCAGUCCACAAAGUUCCUCCAUCGCAAGUGUGAGGCCGGGAAGUACAGUGAAAGAACACCAAUCUCAGUGCAAGGUGAGCCAACAGGUGUGUAUUCCUGGGACUCAUCGGAUGGCUAGCCUAAUCUACUUAGAAACUAUAGGCCAGUAAGAGACUCUGCUUAAGCAAAGUGGCCAGCAGACCUGAAAUAAGUCAGGUGGCAUUGCACUCUUUGGCACCACCAGCAAGCUUCCAUUGAGUUCAAAUUGGAAGUUGCUUGAAGUUCAAAUGGUGACGGCUAUGAGUGAGCUAUGAGGUAAGGUUCUUUCUGUGCAUAAGAAAGAUGUACUGGGUAUUGGCAUCCUUGAAGGGCUUUCACUGUUUUUCUGAAACCUACAUGGCUACUGGAGGUCUGUCUUGCUCUUACUUAGGGCUCUCAAGAGAUGUAUGAAUGUCCUGCC